rnacentral:rRNA from 1 species
GAUGAACGCUGGCGGCGUGCUUAACACAUGCAAGUCGAACGGGAAGGCCCUACCUUUCUUCGGUACUCGAGUGGCGAACGGGUGAGUAACACGUGAGUAAUCUGCCCUUUACUUCGGGAUAACCUUAGGAAACUGGGGCUAAUACCGGAUAUGACCUUCUCCUGCAUGGGGUUGUGGAAAGCUUUUGCGGUGUGGGAUGAGCUCGCGGCGUAUCAGCUUGUUGGUGGGGUGAUGUCCUAGCACAGCGUCUACGGGUAGCCCGGCUGAGAGGGGGUACGGCGACAUUGGGAGAGGGAGACAGGCCAGAGACUCACGGGGGGGAGAAGAGGGGGAUAUAGCACAAAGGGGGCAAGAGUGAGGCAGAGAAGCGGCGUGGGGGAUGAGGGGGUUUGGGGGGUAAACACCGUUUGCGAUUGAGGAAGAGUGUGGGUGACGGUAAGGGGAGAAGAAGCACCGGCUAACUACGUG